CUCCGACCUCAGAUCAGACGAGACUACCCGCUGAAUUUAAGCAUAUCACUAAGCGGAGGAAAAAAAACU
rnacentral:rRNA from 1 species